rnacentral:rRNA from 1 species
AGAGUUUGAUCAUGGCUCAGGAUGAACGCUGGCGGUCUGCUUAACACAUGCAAGUCGAACGAAUCCUUUCGGGGAUUAGUGGCGGACGGGUGAGUAACGCGUGAGAAUCUGCCAAAAGGACUGGGACAACCACUGGAAACGGUGGCUAAUACCAGAUGUGCCGCAACGUAAAAGAGGAAACUCGCCUUUUGAGGAGCUCGCGUCUGAUUAGCUAGUUGGUGAGGUAAAAGCUCACCAAGGCAACGAUCAGUAGCUGGUCUGAGAGGAUGAUCAGCCACACUGGGACUGAGACACGGCCCAGACUCCUACGGGAGGCAGCAGUGGGGAAUUUUCCGCAAUGGGCGAAAGCCUGACGGAGCAAUACCGCGUGAGGGAGGAAGGCUCUUGGGUUGUAAACCUCUUUUCUCAAGGAAGAAAAAAAUGACGGUACUUGAGGAAUAAGCAUCGGCUAACUCCGUGCCAGCAGCCGCGGUAAUACGGAGGAUGCAAGCGUUAUCCGGAAUGAUUGGGCGUAAAGCGUCCGCAGGUGGCUAUGUAAGUCUGCUGUUAAAGAGUCUGGCUCAACCAGAUAAAGGCAGUGGAAACUACAUGGCUAGAGUGCGUUCGGGGCAGAGGGAAUUCCUGGUGUAGCGGUGAAAUGCGUAGAGAUCAGGAAGAACACCGGUGGCGAAAGCGCUCUGCUAGGCCGCAACUGACACUGAGGGACGAAAGCUAGGGGAGCGAAUGGGAUUAGAUACCCCAGUAGUCC